CUCUGUGACUCCUACGGGAGGCAGCAGUGGGGAAUAUUGCACAAUGGGCGCAAGCCUGAUGCAGCCAUGCCGCGUGUAUGAAGAAGGCCUUCGGGUUGUAAAGUACUUUCAGCAGUGAGGAAGGUAUCGUAGUUAAUAGCUGCGGUAUUUGACGUUAGCUGCAGAAGAAGCACCGGCUAACUCCGUGCCAGCAGCCGCGGUAAUACGGAGGGUGCGAGCGUUAAUCGGAAUUACUGGGCGUAAAGCGCAUGCAGGUGGUUUGUUAAGUCAGAUGUGAAAGCCUUCGGCUCAACCCGAAGAAGUGCAUCGGAAACUGGGAAACUUGAGUGCAGAAGAGGACAGUGGAACUCCAUGUGUAGCGGUGAAAUGCGUAGAUAUAUGGAAGAACACCAGUGGCGAAGGCGGCUGUCUGGUCUGUAACUGACGCUGAGGCUCGAAAGUAUGGGUAGCAAACAGGAUUAGAUACCCUGGUAG
rnacentral:rRNA from 1 species